GUGCCCCCACAGACGGAACCCAGAGGUGCCAUGCCCAGCACCCCAAGAGCUCCGUCCCUCCCCACCAUCCUUCUUCACCCCCCAGGGAAGGGGGGGGAAACACCGAUCCAGGGCUGAGAUCCCCCCGUGCCAUCGCAACAGCAAGACCCCAGCACGCACACACACACACACCCCCCCCAGCACCCCACGACGUUGGGAGAGUCACAGGGAGCCAGAAGGGUGUUUUUACCCUCAGUACACGUAUUUUUUGGAGGGGGACCACCCCCAGCGUGGCCUCCCCAACCCCAUUUCCCUGCAGCGGCUGUUUCUUUCCCCGCAGGGCUGUGCUGCUCGGGCUCCACGGUCACCCCACCCUCAGCCCUGGAAAUGUCCCCCCCCCCUGCUCCGAUGAUUCAUCACUUUGUCGCUCGAGUCCGCAGGGCUCUUCCCUUUGCCCCGCAGCACCGCCGAAAACCGGCAAACGGGGAAACCUCGUCACGGCAAAAGCGGUGGCAGGGCACGGGGGUGGGGGGGGGGGGGCCGGGAACACACGUGCUGUAAACUCGGCGCCGCGGAGCGUGGAAAAAGAAAUAAAAGACCUGGCUGGAAUCACAACCUCCAUCCCAAACACCCGGAUGCUGGAGUCGCCCCCGUCGCAGCCAGCUCCACCCCGGAGCGGUUUCCUACUGAUAAGGGCAGGAGGAAAUUUCCCCAUCAUCUGACUCAUUGAAGCUUUAGAAGACAUGAGCAUGAGAGCUGUCGUAAUCCUUCCUGCUUCGCAAUUAAUUCAUGAAUAUAAUUAAUCGGUGGCUGUAAGUUGAGUGCAGCCCCCUCCUACACCCUUGCCAAACUCCUGCUGCCUCAGAGGAGCAAGUGGGCUCCUCUUGGUGAUCCCCUGAAAACUGUGUGACACCGGGUACCCCAACUCUUCCCCUGUUUUCUGCAGACCCCAAAGCAGCAAAGCUGGGGGGCAGCCAUCUCACCAGGGGGGACCCCACUCUCCUGCCACUCAGGCCGGGAGGGAUUUGGACCCCGUCCCGGGGCGGGGGGGGGAGGGAUGUGCACGGAAACCCCCAAGCAAACCCAGCGCUCCGACUGUCAGCACCGAGGGCUGGAGCAUCCGUGCCUCAGUUUCCCCACGCAUGGGCUAAAGGGUGCGGGGAGCGGGGUUACGCUGAUAAGGGCGACCCGGGCAAGUCACCUCCGGCUGCCGGAGGGCUCGCA